GAUGAACGCUAGCGAUAGGCUUAACACAUGCAAGUCGAGGGGCAGCAUGGUCUUAGCUUGCUAAGACUGAUGGCGACCGGCGCACGGGUGCGUAACGCGUAUGCAACUUGCCUCACAGAGGGGGAUAACCCGUCGAAAGACGGACUAAUACCGCGUACACUCCAUCUUGGGCAUCCAAGGCAGAGGAAAUGAAAUUCGCUGUGAGAUAGGCAUGCGUCCCAUUAGCUAGUUGGUGAGGUAACGGCUCACCAAGGCGACGAUGGGUAGGGGAACUGAGAGGUUGAACCCCCACACUGGUACUGAGACACGGACCAGACUACUACGGGAGGCAGCAGUGAGGAAUAUUGGUCAAUGGGCGAGAGCCUGAACCAGCCAAGUCGCGUGAAGGAUGACUGUCUUAUGGAUUGUAAACUUCUUUUAUACGGGAAUAACAAGAGUCACGUGUGACUCCCUGCAUGUACCGUAUGAAUAAGCAUCGGCUAACUCCGUG
rnacentral:rRNA from 1 species